rnacentral:rRNA from 1 species
AUCUAUACCGUGAAACUGCGAAUGGCUCAUUAAAUCAGUUAUCGUUUAUUUGAUAGUACCUUACUACUUGGAUAACCGUGGUAAUUCUAGAGCUAAUACAUGCUAAAAACCUCGACUUCGGAAGGGGUGUAUUUAUUAGAUAAAAAACCAAUGCCCUUCGGGGCUCCUUGGUGAUUCAUAAUAACUUAACGAAUCGCAUGGCCUUGUGCCGGCGAUGGUUCAUUCAAAUUUCUGCCCUAUCAACUUUCGAUGGUAUGGUCUUGGCUUACCAUGGUUUCAACGGGUAACGGGGAAUUAGGGUUCUAUUCCGGAGAGGGAGCCUGAGAAACGGCUACCACAUCCAAGGAAGGCAGCAGGCGCGCAAAUUACCCAAUCCCGACACGGGGAGGUAGUGACAAUAAAUACUGAUACAGGGCUCUUUUGGGUCUUGUAAUUGGAAUGAGUACAAUUUAAAUCCCUUAACGAGGAACAAUUGGAGGGCAAGUCUGGUGCCAGCAGCCGCGGUAAUUCCAGCUCCAAUAGCGUAUAUUAAAGUUGUUGCAGUUAAAAAGCUCGUAGUUGAACCUUGGGCCUGGCUGGCCGGUCCGCCUCACCGCGUGCACUGGUCCGGCCGGGCCUUUCCUUCUGGGGAGCCGCAUGCCCUUCACUGGGUGUGUCGGGGAACCAGGACUUUUACUUUGAAAAAAUUAGAGUGUUCAAAGCAGGCCUAUGCUCGAAUACAUUAGCAUGGAAUAAUAGAAUAGGACGUGUGGUUCUAUUUUGUUGGUUUCUAGGACCGCCGUAAUGAUUAAUAGGGAUAGUCGGGGGCAUCAGUAUUCAAUUGUCAGAGGUGAAAUUCUUGGAUUUAUUGAAGACUAACUACUGCGAAAGCAUUUGCCAAGGAUGUUUUCAUUAAUCAGUGAACGAAAGUUAGGGGAUCGAAGACGAUCAGAUACCGUCGUAGUCUUAACCAUAAACUAUGCCGACUAGGGAUCGGGCGAUGUUAUCUUUUUGACUCGCUCGGCACCUUACGAGAAAUCAAAGUCUUUGGGU